GACUAUAACUGUUUCAGUCCAUCCAACAAAUUGAAACAAUAUAGAAAAAAUCAACAUGUCUAAUGCACAAGAUGACACGCAUCAAUAGAGAAAUAUACUAUUAUUAG